rnacentral:rRNA from 1 species
UACAGAGGGGGCAAGCGUUGUUCGGAAUUACUGGGCGUAAAGGGCGCGUAGGCGGCCCGCUAAGUCGAACGUGAAAUCCCUGGGCUCAACCCAGGAACUGCGUCCGAUACUGGCAGGCUUGAAUUCGGGAGAGGGAUGUGGAAUUCCAGGUGUAGCGGUGAAAUGCGUAGAUAUCUGGAGGAACACCGGUGGCGAAGGCAGAUCUCUGGGCCGUAACUGACGCUGAGGAGCGAAAGCAUGGGGAGCGAACAGG